rnacentral:rRNA from 1 species
UACGGAGGGUGCAAGCGUUAAUCGGAAUUACUGGGCGUAAAGCGCACGUAGGUGGUUCGCUAAGUCAGCUGUGAAAUCCCCGGGCUCAACCUGGGACUUGCAGUUGAAACUGGUGAGCUAGAGUAGGGUAGAGGGGUGUGGAAUUCCAGGUGUAGCGGUGAAAUGCGUAGAUAUCUGGAGGAACAUCAGUGGCGAAGGCGACACCCUGGACUCAUACUGACACUGAGGUGCGAAAGCGUGGGGAGCAAACAGGAUUAGAUGCCCUGGUAGUCCACGCCGUAAACGAUGUCUACUAGCCGUUGGGUUCCUUGAGGACUUAGUGGCGCAGCUAACGCAAUAAGUAGACCGCCUGGGGAGUACGGUCGCAAGAUUAAA